rnacentral:rRNA from 1 species
CUUAACACAUGCAAGUCGAACGGUAAGGCCCUUCGGGGUACACGAGUGGCGAACGGGUGAGUAACACGUGGGGUGAUCUGCCCUGCACUUCGGGAUAAGCCUGGGAAACUGGGGUCUAAUACCGGAUAUGACCUCUGCCUGCAUGGGUGGGGGGUGGAAAGCUUUUGCGGUGUGGGAUGGGCCCCGCGGCCUAUCAGCUUGUUGGUGGGGGUUAAGGCCUACCAAGGCGACGACGGGUAGCCGGCCUGAGAGGGUGUCCGGCCACACUGGGGACUGAGAUACGGCCCCAGACUCC